rnacentral:misc_RNA from 1 species
CGACUCCAAACACGCGCACGCAUAUUCGUUUCUUGGUUGCGCUCACACACACACACACACCUUCCGAUUCGCCACAACACUCUUGAAGGAAAAUACUCAGCCAUCGCCGCUGCGCCCCACCUAAAGCACGGCCCAAGCGAGACAGAGGCGAAACGGAUGGAGCCGUCAGUGAAGGAGAGCGUCUCGCGCAUCCCGCUGCUGAAGACGAAGGCGGGCCCACGUGAUGGUGACAAGUGGACGGCGCGACUCAAGGAGGAGUACGCUUCUCUAAUCACCUAUGUGGAGCACAACAAGGCGAGCGACUCGCACUGGUUUCACUUAGAGAGCAACCCGCAAGGGACACGCUGGUACGGCACCUGCUGGACCUACUACAAGAACGAAAAGUACGAGUUCGAGAUGAACUUCGACAUCCCGGUCACGUAUCCGCAGGCACCGCCGGAAAUUGCGCUGCCGGAGCUGGAGGGCAAGACGGUGAAGAUGUACAGGGGCGGCAAGAUCUGCAUGACGACGCACUUCUUCCCCUUGUGGGCACGCAAUGUGCCGUACUUUGGGAUCAGCCACGUCCUCGCUCUCGGACUUGGGCCGUGGCUGUCGAUUGAGGUGCCCGCGAUUGUUGAAGAAGGGUAUCUGAAGCCCGCCAGCGCAGCAACGGUGCCCACGACUGCUGAGUAGAGCGUAACGGAUGUGAGGCUCUGCAAAGGAGAACACAGCGAGAGAAACCGGCCGGGGAGCAGCAGCCCUGCAGCGCACUCGCCGUACCAAAAGUGAACGAGAAGGCAUCUGCUUUCGCACCUCGACGUCUGUGAAGGACGGCGGGGCCGCAUAGGAUUGGGCGAUUUCGUGCCGUUUCGUAGAUCUUGUCCUCACGUCAG